rnacentral:rRNA from 1 species
UACGUAGGGUGCAAGCGUUGUCCGGAAUUAUUGGGCGUAAAGAGCUCGUAGGCGGUUUGUCGCGUCUGCUGUGAAAACUCGGGGCUUAACUCCGGGCCUGCAGUGGAUACGGGCAGACUAGAGUGCGGUAGGGGAGACUGGAAUUCCUGGUGUAGCGGUGAAAUGCGCAGAUAUCAGGAGGAACACCGAUGGCGAAGGCAGGUCUCUGGGCAUUAACUGACGCUGAGGAGCGAAAGCAUGGGGAGCGAACAGG